CAGUCGACGGUUGUAGCAAUACAGCAGUGGCAGACGGGUGAGUAACACGUGGGAACCUACCUAGGGGUACGGAAUAACUCAGGGAAACUUGUGCUAAUACCGUAUACGACCUUCGGGUGAAAGAUUUAUCGCCCCUAGAUGGGCCCGCGUUGGAUUAGCUAGUUGGUGGGGUAAAAGCCUACCAAGGCGACGAUCCAUAGCUGGUCUGAGAGGAUGAUCAGCCACACUGGGACUGAGACACGGCCCAGACUCCUACGGGAGGCAGCAGUAGGGAAUCUUGGACAAUGGGCGAAAGCCUGAUCCAGCCAUGCCGCGUGAGUGAUGAAGGCCUUAGGGUUGUAAAGCUCUUUCGCCAGGGAAGAUAAUGACGGUACCUGGAUAAGAAGCCCCGGCAAACUUCGUGCCAGCAGCCGCGGUAAUACGAAGGGGGCUAGCGUUGUUCGGAAUUACUGGGCGUAAAGCGCACGUAGGCGGUUUUCCAAGUUGGAGGUGAAAUCCCUGGGCUCAACCCGGGAACUGCCUCCAAAACUGGAUGACUCGAGUCCGAGAGAGGUGAGUGGAAUUUCCAGUGUAGAGGUGAAAUUCGUAGAUAUUGGAAAGAACACCAGUGGCGAAGGCGGCUCACUGGCUCGGUACUGACGCUGAGGUGC
rnacentral:rRNA from 1 species